rnacentral:lncRNA from 1 species
AACUAGGUUCCACCAUUUAUUCUUAAAAAGAAAAAAAGAGAAAAAUAAAAAAAUAAAGUAAAAAAAGGCCUUUAUGUGAAUUGUUUUAUUUGGACCAAACUCAAUUGACAAUGAUUUAAAAGGGAUUUUUUAAUCCUAAAGCAACGCAAUGAAUAAACAAAUAAAACAAGGAUUUUAGAGAACAACAGAAAUAGAGAAGAGGAAAAGGCACAAGUGAUAG